UACGUAGGGGGCAAGCGUUGUCCGGAAUCAUUGGGCGUAAAGCGCGUGUAGGCGGUUCAGUAAGUCUGCUGUGAAAGUCCAGGCUCAACCCUGGGAUGCCGGUGGAUACUGUCGAACUAGAGUGCGGAAGAGGCGAGUAGAAGUUCCUGGAUGUAGCGGUGAAAUGCGCGAGAUAUCAGGAGGAACACCCAAUUGGCGAAGGCAGCUCGCUGGGACGUAACUGACGCUGGAGAACGCGAAAGCGUGGGGAGCAAACAGG
rnacentral:rRNA from 1 species